rnacentral:rRNA from 1 species
UACGUAGGGGGCAAGCGUUGUCCGGAAUCAUUGGGCGUAAAGCGCGUGUAGGCGGCUUCGUAAGUCCGUUGUGAAAGUCCAGGGCUCAACCCUGGAAUGCCGAUGGAUACUGCGGAGCUAGAGUCCGGAAGAGGCGAGUGGAAUUCCUGGUGUAGCGGUGAAAUGCGCAGAUAUCAGGAAGAACACCAAUGGCGAAGGCAGCUCUCUGGGACGGUACUGACGCUGAGACGCGAAAGCGUGGGGAGCGAACCGG